GAUGAACGCUGGCGGCGUGCCUAAUACAUGCAAGUCGAGCGAACGGACGGGAAGCUUGCUUUUCUGAUGUUAGCGGCGGACGAGUGAGUAACACGUGGAUAACCUACCUAUAAGACUGGGAUAACUUCGGGAAACCGGAGCUAAUACCGGAUAAUAUUUUGAACCGCAUGGUUCAAAAGUGAAAGACGGUCUUGCUGUCACUUAUAGAUGGAUCCGCGCUGCAUUAGCUAGUUGGUAAGGUAACGGCUUACCAAGGCAACGAUGCAUAGCCGACCUGAGAGGGUGAUCGGCCACACUGGAACUGAGACACGGUCCAGACUCCUACGGGAGGCAGCAGUAGGGAAUCUUCCGCAAUGGGCGAAAGCCUGACGGAGCAACGCCGCGUGAGUGAUGAAGGUCUUCGGAUCGUAAAACUCUGUUAUUAGGGAAGAACAUAUGUGUAAGUAACUGUGCACAUCUUGACGGUACCUAAUCAGAAAGCCACGGCUAACUACGUG
rnacentral:rRNA from 1 species